rnacentral:rRNA from 1 species
CAGGUGGUGGCAUGGUUGUCGUCAGCUCGUGUCGUGAGAUGUUGGUUAAGUCCCGCAACGAGCGCAACCCCUAUUGUUAGUUGCCAUCAUUCAGUUGGGCACUCUAGCGAGACUGCCGGUAAUAAACCGGAGGAAGGUGGGGAUGACGUCAAAUCAUCAUGCCCCUUAUGACCUGGGCUACACACGUGCUACAAUGGUUGGUACAACGAGUUGCGAGUCGGUGACGGCGAGCUAAUCUCUUAAAGCCAAUCUCAGUUCGGAUUGUAGGCUGCAACUCGCCUACAUGAAGUCGGAAUCGCUAGUAAUCGCGGAUCAGCACGCCGCGGUGAAUACGUUCCCGGGCCAU